rnacentral:lncRNA from 1 species
GAAAGAAGGAGAGAGGGAGGGGGGAGGAAGGAAAGAAAGGAAGGACGGAAGGACAGAAGGAAGGAAGGAGGGAGGGAGGGAUCAGAAAUCAUAGCCAGUGAAACCCAGGAAAACCAUCAGGCAGGAAUUAGGAUGGUGCUUUAUCCAGGUUUGCAUUCCCAACAUUUAGCACCAUACGCACCAAAAAAAUAUUGUCAGAUGAAUAGUGAACCACAGUCAAACACUGAGUAAACCUGGCAGUUGGCAUCACAGGGGAGGGUGCGUGGUCACUGGACUCUGAGUGGGUCGCUGUUUUUCAUGCCAAGUCAUGACAGUAGGAUUCAGUGUGCUGGGGGAACACAGUUUUAUGAAUCUCACUUUAAAAAAACUGCAAGUGCUAUAAAUAGAAGCCUUCAUAAUUUUGAGAUAAUAAUGGUAAAAAUGAUCAUUUUUGCUUAUUAUUUGUGAUGGUUAAUAUUGUGUCAACUUGAUUGAAUUGAAGGAUGCAACGUACUGUUCCCAGGUGUGUCUGUGAGGGUGUUGCCGAAGAAGAUGAACACUUGAGACAAUGGACUGGGAGAGGCAGAGCCACCCUCCCUCUGGGUGGGCACCCAGCUGCCAGCGCAGCUGCAAGCGCAGCUAGAAUCAGCUUCCAGCACAGCUAGAGUAAAGCAGGCAGAGGAACGCGGAAGGGUUAGACUGCCUGAGUCUCCCGACCUUCGUCUUUCCCCUGUGCCGGAUGCUUCCUGCCCUCAAACAUCGGACUCCAGGUUCUUCAGCUUUUGGACUCUUGGACUCACACCAGGGGUUUGCCAGGGGCUCUCGGGCCUUUGGCCACAGACUGAAGGCUGCGCUAUCGGCGUCCCUACUUUUGGGGAUUGGGACUUGUACUGGCUUCCUUGCUCCUCGGCUUGCAAACAGCCUACUGUGGGACCUCACCCUGUGAUCAUGCUUGCCAGUCAUUUGCACACAGAGAAAACCAAUUGAGAGGAGAAGAGAGAGAGAAAACCUAGGUUUCCCGACAAUGUACAUCAGGGAAAGGUGCGUCCCUCCCAGUGAAGCUGGAAGGUUGAAGUCCUGACACCUCCCGCGGUCUGAGCAGCUGCGCGAUGAACUGGAUAGUGCUGGAAUGUGGGACAACGGAGGCAGACUCAGAAGUCGGAACAUUGUUUCAGGAUCACACAGAAAGAGACAUGAUUUUCAUAGGUAAGUGCUGGUUUUUUUUUUUUUUUGUCGUUGGAAAAAAGUUUCUCACUAAUAACUAUCUAAAAGGGAAAUAAUUACAGUUUCAGACAUUCCAAAAAUCCCCGUGAAGAGGGUUUUGUUUUGGUUUUGGUUCUUUGUGGUGUGCCUUACAGCUUUCCCUGAGGUGACACACUUACUGACCUACGGCUAGGGCAAGUAGGUGGAAAAAAGCAAGCUUUCCUGCCUCUGGAGAAAGGAAGGGUCAGGUGUAACACCGAAGUGACUCAGAAGUAGGGGAGCUUGUCUCAGCUCUGGCCUGCACAGUGGUUCCUCUGUUCUUUACAUAGAGAAGAAAGGAGGAGAAAGCUCAAAGCAAUGCCCUUGACUUAACCCUUCAGAGGGCAGAAGUGGCCAAUCUUUAUUUUGCUGUUUUGGUUAUUGUUCAUUUAAAUUCCAUGUGCCAAUUCCGACUGAUUAGCAGUGGCUGCUUGGAGCACUGUGUGAGGAAGAAUUCUCAGGCACGUGGUGAUCAUUCAGCUAGCGCUUGCCGAAUGUCGAAUGAAUGAAUGGCUGUCUUGGACACGGGGAAAGGAGUGGUGCUACGUGUGUCGCAGGGUUGCCUCGAGUUGACCCCAAGGAAGACAUUCUAAAGAGGAGAAGGUUAGGGAUGAGAGACAAAGAUGCAUGCUAAGGCUCAUGAGCUGUUCUCCUAACAGAUAACGCCUGACCCGGCCUUGGACGUCAGUACACAUGAGUAAACGGUGGAAGGAUGCUACGUUUAUUGGCCAUGUCCAUCUGAACUUUAAAAAUAAUGCAUGGUCUUUAACGCUGUCUCCACCCACAGGUCUAGUUCUAGCAAUUUAACCUAAGGAAACAAAUAAGGAUGUGAACAAAGCCUUAGCUACGGUGGUGUUUUACAGAAGCGUUUUGGGCAAGAGAGAAACCCAUGCAAAGGAAUUUGGUUCAAAAAGAGGUUAACGUGAGGCAGCAUUUCUCAAAGUUGGCCUGUUGACAUCUGGGGACAGGUAAUUCUGUGUUGUAGGGGCUGUCCUGCACGUCGUGGGAUGCUUAUCAAUGUCUCUGGUUUAAUCCAGUAGAUGCCAGCAGCAGCCCCUCCCUAGCUGUGACAACCCAAAAUACCUUCAGAUUUUGCCAGAUGUCUCCUGGGAGGAGUGGGAAACCCGAACCACUCCCCAAGUAAGAAUCGCUGAUGUGAGGGUAUAGAACUCAUGGCAAUUCAGAAAAAGCUGAAUAACCAGGAUUCAGAAUCUGAAGAGCUGCCACAUCUGGAGUGCAAUCAUCUCUCUUACUGCCCUUUCCCCCCGCUGACCUCGUUUGUCCUAUAGAUCUGUAGGACAUAGAUCUGCUCCGUUUUUCCUCUGAGUCUCUGCUCUUCAUAAUUGCAAUGUGUACCUAGAGGAAUAAUGACACCCCACACAUAACUUUGUAUGGCCUUUCAGCUCAAUUAUCCACCACUGACUGCUGACUUUUUUCUGCUCCUUAGUUUAAGAAAGAAGGGAGCUGAUUGGUUCUGCUCAUUGUAAAAAGUCAGGUGAGUGGGCUUAGGCAACUGGCUGCUGAAGGAUGAUCUCUAACCUGCUCUGGGGCAGGUGUCCAUCUCCUGCUAGGCCAGUUGUGAGUGGACGAAUUUAAAGAGUCCUCAAAAAUGUCAGUGAUCAUGUUGCUCGUUGCAAUAUGUUUUUCUUGCUUCUUCACCUGUCUGGCAAUUUAUGAUUAGAUUCAAGACCUUGUAACUUUACCUUGUUUAGAACACUGGGUAUAUUUCAAAAUCAUUGAUUUGUAUUUUGUCUAGUUUUUUAGUUUGGAGGAUAAACCUGGCUUCUUUUAUUUCACCUUAUCUAGAAGCAAAAUUUCACAAUGGGCUUUUUAAGAUUAAAAACUGGAAGCAACCUAGAGAAUUUCACCAAGAGAAUUGCACGUAUAGACAGCAUUGUCAGAAUGAAAUUCCAUCCACAUGAUCAGGGACCCUGUAGGUG